rnacentral:lncRNA from 1 species
CAUUUCGCCAUCUUGGGAAGGUCAGGAGGUACGCGAGCGAGUAUAAGGAGCGGCCUUCUUGGGAAGGUCCUCGCCCUGAAGUAGGCUGCCAUUAUGGGAAGGUACGACAGAUGAGGGUGCGUCUGCUCUGGACUUCAAGGGCUUCCUUAGUAGCUUCUGGGUUGGGAUCAGCAUCAGUGCGGUUUUUUAUUUCAAAGUAAGGGAGUCCCGGAUAUCUCUGGCAGGCGCUGAACAGGCUCAGGUAAAAUCCGCACCGUAUUGUGGCUUCCCCCAAAGAAUUAUGGGAGUUGUAAGGAUGCUGUGAAUUGUAGCUCUGUAAGGCGGUGAACUACAGUUCACCAGAUUCUUUGGAAGACGUCGUGUGGUUUAAAUGUAUGGUGCAGAUGUAUUUGUUCAGCGUCUUCCACGUUCUUCUGUGCCUUCAUAUGGCAUGCAUAUCUGUCGUAUGAUAAGAUCAAAGCACAUAAAGCAUUUAAGAACCAUAUUGUCAGGAAAGCAUUGUUUAAUGUUUGGAUAAGAUAUAAGGAUUUAUUGGAAAAUAAAACCCCAAGGUGGCUGUCACCGAUGGAAGCGAAAGCAUUGAAAAAGCUCAAUAUGGAGGCCAAAUGGCCAAAAUAUUGGGAAAUUCUGGAACAAGAGGGAGACAGAUUGAAACUGCAGAGUUUUGAGAAACUAAAAAACAAAGUGCGAGAUUGGCUUCAUUAUUAUCAGAUAAUGGAGGCAUAUAAUUCGGAUAAGAAAAUUGGCUUCCAGGUGGAAAAAUCAAAAUUAGAAACAGAACUGUUAGAACCCAAAACUAAGACUUUAUCAAGGAUGUAUAACUUGCUGUUGAAAUGGAAUACUCAGGAUGAAACGGUGAAAUCCGCUAUGAUUAAAUGGGCACAAGAUGUUGGACAUAACAUAAUGAUGGCUGACUGGGAACAGUUAUGGACCACAGGUAUGAAGUUUACGGCGUGUAAUGCCUUAAGAGAGAAUAUUAUGAAAAUGAUUUACAGGUGGUACAUGACACCAGUCAAGCUUGCAAAAAUCUAUCAUUUGCCCGAUAAUAAAUGUUGGAAAUGUAAAGAAACUGAAGGUACAUUCUUUCACCUUUGGUGGACGUGCCCAAGGAUUAAGGCUUUCUGGGAGAUGAUCUAUAAUGAAUUGAAAAAGUAUUUAAAUAUACCUUCUUGAAGAAACCAGAGGCCUUUCUCCUGGGCAUAGUCGGCCAAUUGGUGCCAAAGAAGGAUAGAACUUUUUUUAUGUAUGCCACAACAGCAGCAAGAAUACUCAUUGCAAAGUACUGGAAGACACAAGAUCUACCUACUCUGGAAGAAUGGCAGACGAAGGUGAUUGAAUACAUGGAACUGGCGGAAAUGAUUGGCAGAAUCCGAGACCAGGGAGAAGAGUCGGUGGAAGAAGAUUGGAAGAAAUUUAAAGACUAUUUACAGAAAUAUUGUAAAAUUAAUGAAUGUUAGAAUGAUGUUGGAUAGAAAUUAAAUGGUUUUUAGCAGAAAUAUUAUAAGGGAAUAUGAAAAAUGGAUUACUAACAGGUAAAAAUUUAAUGUUACAAUACUUUAAGAUUAGAGAUUAGGAUAAACAAAGAGGGGAAGGAUUUGCUGAACCAACAAACUGAACUGGAAUACAAAAAAGGGAGGCCUGAGGAGGUCCGGGAAACAAGCUAAUGAAAAAUAAGUAAUUGAAAGAUUGACUUGUUUUUAAUCAAUUUUAUUUUGUAUUUUUCUUUUUUCUAUUUUUAUUUUGUAAUAUUUUGAAAAUCUUAAUAAAUAACUUAUAAAAAAAAACAUUUGCUGUUCCACCUCUGCUGAGUUCAUGGCAAAGGGGAAAGAUUUGAACUAGGGACUUUCUGGCUCUCCUGCAUCUUUACUCCUUAAUUUCACAAUAUUUUAAAGCCACAAAUAGUCCUACAUCCCCUUGGCAUGGGCUCAGCAUAUAACAUGUAACAGGUUCAUUUAUUUAUUUUAGCUAGCAAACCAAUCCUCAGCUUGGAAUGAUUAUGUUUCCAGCACAAGCCUCUUGCAAAUUACAUGCACUUUAAACUCAGCCUUGGCUUGGAACAGGUAGGUCCUCUCUUGCAUUUAUUAUUUUGGGCACAAUAGGAAGACUGAGCAAGGGAUACUCAAAUAAGUUAUAGUUUAGUACUUUGCUGGAUCUGACAGAGCAACCUUCUCCCAAGGGGGAGGCCACCUGUUAUAUUCCAUUCCCAAGGACACUUGCCUGGUGCCACUACUAUUAUCCUUUCAGCACCAAUCGUCUUAUUGUUAUACUAUAUCGGGGCUUUCUAGUUUAGAAGAAAAGGACACAUUCUUAUUAUAAAGGUGUGUAGAAUUAUGCAUGGUAUGGAGAAAGUGGAUAAAAAAGGUUUUAUCCCAGUCAGAAUACUAGACACUGGGGCUAGCCAGUGAAACUGAACAAUGGAAUAUUGAGGAUGGACCAGAAGUACUGAACACAACAUGUACGUAGUUAAACUAUGGGACUUGUUCCUACAAGAUGUAGCGAUGGCCACCAAACUGGAAGAGUAUUAAACAAAUUCACAGAGGAUAAGGCUCUCAAUGUCUACUGACACCACUGGCUAUGUUCUUCUUCCACUGUUGGGCAUAGGAAGUGGGGAAAGUGCUGCUGCAUCUAGUCAUCCAAUGUGAGAAUAGGAUGCUGGACUAGUGUUAUAUUGUAAAAGAUCCAAAACACUGCAGACAAAUGCUGCAGCUUUUUUUAUUUCAGGAACUCACUCAGAACUGAAAUUAAAGCUAACUUCACUCUUUUUAUGUUCCUCAGGAAUCCUUGUUAUGCCUUUGACUACAAAUCCCAGUACACAGUUCACCUACCACAAUAGAGGAUCUCUGGUCUGAUCCAACAGCGUUAUUAUUAUUAUUUUAAAGUUUUCUGAUCUUGUUUUUGUAAGGAAGUCCUGGAAACUCUACUGAAGGGCAGCUCA